UGCAGAGAUUGAAGUAGGYGCCACAGCUGCCAGAUCCUCCCUCUUCAGCUUCCUCCUCCUGGCCAUGCCCCUGGCCAUGGGGACUGGCCGUCCACUGCUGGCUACCCACGACUCUCAGAGGAGGUUCAUGGGGAGCUCUGCAACUUGGUGGGGCCUCAGAAAGGAAGGAUAUACAUAAAAAGGAGACCUUAUUUGGACUUCAAGGGAGGAAGGAAGACAGUGGAGGCACGUCGGAGUGGACGUAGCUCAGGAGGGGAGCAGCAUUCUGCUGAUCUGGCCUUUAUAGAAUCUGCAGUUUCAAAUAUUAGAAAUGCUUGUCUGCAUCUGGAUUUUCCACCACUGCACACACAGUAUGUGUCUUAGAACCUAAAAAAUGCUGUGUUUAAGACCCAAAACUGGAUAAUUCUUGCUAAGGUCAAUGAGAAGUGCAGAUGCUCAAUGUCUCGCAGACAGAGGCCCAGAGAAAGUUGAAGGAUAUCAAGAGACCAAUAAAUCUUCCAGAUGACUACAAGAGUGAGGAGAGACAAAUCGUAAACUCUGCUAUAGCAGAUAUUAAUUUUCCUGCUUACAGUACAGCAGUGAAGAGUCACAGAGCUCAGGUUCUGGCAGACUGUCUCGUUACAAUCUGCUUGAGGGGUUCACAUCCACUGUCGAGCAUUCUGGCUAUUAACCUUUCUGCAGACCCUGUCCUUACAUGGAGUCCCUUUUGGGAUGGGCGAAGGCUUCUGAACUUUCACUGGAUUUUGAGAUAUCUGGCGAUUUCAGAUAAGGGCCUCAACUGUUUUCCAGGCAUUUGGUUGUAAACGUACAAUCAGUGGAAUUGAAAAUACCUAAUCAACAACUGGAACUGCAGAAAAUCAUGAAAGACCUGAAGGUAUGGAAAAUCCUUAUGGACUUCCUGCAUCUCACCAAACAGUCCUACCUAGUUUUGAAGUUCAAAGGCAGCUACUCCAGUUUUGCCCAAGGUACUCAAGAGGCACAGGAGUGUCGUGCUCUUGCGGCUGCUGUAUUUAUAUACUUCAGGAAGAACCGCACGAUGGCAGAAGAGAACAGACAUUUACAGAUGCAAUGUGACAGCCCAACGUAAGAGACACAGCAAGUUAACUUCUGAUACUUUUGUAAAGUACUUUCUAUAUUUAUCUGCUUAAAAAUACAUUCUUCUAGAAGUAUUUAUAUA
rnacentral:lncRNA from 1 species